rnacentral:rRNA from 1 species
AACGAACGCUGGCGGCAUGCCUAACACAUGCAAGUCGAACGAGACCUUCGGGUCUAGUGGCGCACGGGUGCGUAACGCGUGGGAACCUGCCCUUAGGUUCGGAAUAACUCCCCGAAAGGGGUGCUAAUACCGGAUAAUGUCUUCGGACCAAAGAUUUAUCGCCUUUGGAUGGGCCCGCGUUGGAUUAGCUAGUUGGUAGGGUAAAAGCCUACCAAGGCGACGAUCCAUAGCUGGUCUGAGAGGAUGAUCAGCGACACUGGGACUGAGACACGGCCCAGACUCCUACGGGAGGCAGCAGUGGGGAAUAUUGGACAAUGGGCGAAAGCCUGAUCCAGCAAUGCCGCGUGAGUGAUGAAGGCCUUAGGGUUGUAAAGCUCUUUUAACCGGGAUGAUAAUGACAGUACCGGGAGAAUAAGCCCCGGCUAACUCCGUG